rnacentral:rRNA from 1 species
CCUACGGGAGGCAGCAGUGGGGAAUCUUGGACAAUGGGGGCAACCCUGAUCCAGCCAUGCCGCGUGUGUGAAGAAGGCCUUAGGGUUGUAAAGCACUUUCAGCAGGGAGGAAGGCUUUGGGCUAAUACCCUGGAGUACUUGACGUUACCUGCAGAAGAAGCACCGGCUAAUUUCGUGCCAGCAGCCGCGGUAAU